rnacentral:rRNA from 1 species
GACGAACGCUGGCGGCGUGCCUAAUACAUGCCAGUUGAGCGCUGAAGGUUGGUACUUGUACCAACUGGAUGAGCAGCGAACGGGUGAGUAACGCGUGGGGAAUCUGCCUUUGAGCGGGGGACAGCAUUUGGAAACGAAUGCUAAUACCGCAUAAAAACUUUAAACACAAGUUUUAAGUUUGAAAGAUGCAAUUGCAUCACUCAAAGAUGAUCCCGCGUUGUAUUAGCUAGUUGGUGAGGUAAAGGCUCACCAAGGCGAUGAUACAUAGCCGACCUGAGAGGGUGAUCGGCCACAUUGGGACUGAGACACGGCCCAAACUCCUACGGGAGGCAGCAGUAGGGAAUCUUCGGCAAUGGACGAAAGUCUGACCGAGCAACGCCGCGUGAGUGAAGAAGGUUUUCGGAUCGUAAAACUCUGUUGGUAGAGAAGAACGUUGGUGAGAGUGGAAAGCUCAUCAAGUGACGGUAACUACCCAGAAAGGGACGGCUAACUACGUG